UUGAACAAUCAUUUGGUUCUGAUUCAUCAUUCUCAACCGAAGACAAGAGCACAAUGGACUUCAAAGUUGGUAAGGAGAGUAGUGGUAUUUGUAUUCAAUAUAGCCCUUUUCCAUGUAAAUUACCAUUUUCAAACUUUGUAAAGAUCUAUGGAGUCCCUCCAUUUGCGGACUACCAUUCUAUUAAAUAAAGUUAAGCUUUU
rnacentral:lncRNA from 1 species